AUUGAACGCUGGCGGCAGGCCUAACACAUGCAAGUCGAACGAGUGGCGGACGGGUGAGUAAUGUCGGGGAAACUGCCUGAUGGAGGGGUAUAACUACUGGAACCGGUAGCUAAUACCGCAUAACAUCAGAUGUGCCCAGAUGGGAUGAGCUUGUGGGUGGGGUAACGGCUCACCAAGGCGACGAUCCCUAGCUGGUCUGAGAGGAUGACCAGCCAAACUGGAACUGAGAUACGGGCCAGACUCCUACGGGAGUCAGCAGUGGGGAAUAUUGCACAAUGGGCGCAAGCCUGAUGCAGCCAUGCCGCGUGUAUGAAGAAGGCCUUCGGGUUGUAAAGUACUUUCAGCGGGGAGGCUUUACCCGCAGAAGAAGCACCGGCUAACUCCGUGCCAGCCGCCGCGGUAAUAC
rnacentral:rRNA from 1 species